rnacentral:rRNA from 1 species
CGGACGGGUGAGUAACGCGUGAGAAUCUGGCUUCAGGUCUGGGACAACCACUGGAAACGGUGGCUAAUACCGGAUGUGCCGAGAGGUGAAAGGUUAACUGCCUGAAGAUGAGCUCGCGUCUGAUUAGCUAGUUGGAAGUGUAAUGGACUCCCAAGGCGACGAUCAGUAGCUGGUCUGAGAGGACGAUCAGCCACACUGGGACUGAGACACGGCCCAGACUCCUACGGGAGGCAACAGUGGGGAAUUUUCCGCAAUGGGCGAAAGCCUGACGGAGCAAUACCGCGUGAGGGAGGAAGGCUCUUGGGUCGUAAACCUCUUUUCUCAGGGAAGAACAAAAUGACGGUACCUGAGGAAUAAGCAUCGGCUAACUCCGUGCCAGCAGCCGCGGUAAUACGGAGGAUGCAAGCGUUAUCCGGAAUGAUUGGGCGUAAAGCGUCCGCAGGUGGCUAUGUAAGUCUGCUGUUAAAGAGUCUAGCUCAACUAGAUAAGAGCAGUGGAAACUACAAGGCUAGAGUACGUUCGGGGCAGAGGGAAUUCCUGGUGUAGCGGUGAAAUGCGUAGAGAUCAGGAAGAACACCGGUGGCGAAGGCGCUCUGCUAGGCCGUAACUGACACUGAGGGACGAAAGCUAGGGGAGCGAAUGGGAUUAGAUACCCCAGUAGUC